AUGGAAAGCGUCGACGCGUCCACCGGGGCCUCCUCCUCCCACCGCCCCAACUCCAACUGGGCGAUGAUCGACACGUCCACCGGCGUCGACUCCUCCCACCGCCAGGCGAUGCUCGACGCGCCCACCGGGGUCUCCUCCUCCCACCGCCCCAACAUCGACGCGUCCACUGGCGUCUCCUCCUCCCACCGUCCCAACUGGGUUAUGCUCGACUCCCACGUUCGUCUGAAUUACGGUACUACCGCUCAUCUUGAUGACUGCGAAGACACGUAUGCCGAAAGUAAGAACUCCAUUGGCGAGCCCGUUGGCAUCUGGUUCCGCACUGUGUCCCCCCCAGGGACCUCCCGCCUCUACCUCUUAUGGAUGAAGCGCGAGCGCUACAACCAGCACUGUAACAGCGAGUCAUCGGGAGUGAUAAGCAGACGCCUGUCUUGGUCGUACGGGGUGGAACCCCGAGUGGUGUCUGCCCACGGUAACUCCAUCCUUCUGCAGCUCACCCCAAACGUGGGCCUGGGCGCCCGCACUCCAGACUUCUUCGUUUACACUAUCCGCUUCCAUGGGAAGCCGUUCCUCUUCCGUCUUCCUGCUUGCCUGAAAGAAAUGGCAAGCGACCGCCUCUCGCAUGGUGGGUUACGACACAUGCUCACGAUUGCUCACAUUGGCCUCCUUUCCUUUGGUGAACAGUAUGUGGUUGCGGACCUCCGGGUGUUACCAGUCGAAGAAGGUCAUGACGCUGUUACCCCAUUGGAGGCUCAGUUUUGCAUUUUUCGUUCUGACAGCCCAGGUGGCUGGCCAGUGAUCAGGCAUGAGAAGGAUCAAGACAGGGACCUGCUGUGGUGGUCAACGGACACCGUGGUGCCUUGCGACAAUUUUCUAUGUUAUGUUGAUUACCUUCGUGGUAUCUUACUUGGGACUGUCCUCAACGAGGACCCUCAUCUGCUUUACAUCCAUCUACCCGUGAAGGUUCCCAUUGGUGACCCCACAGACCCUGAAUUGGGCACUAGAGGGUGUCCUCAUCUUUUACGAAGUGUGUGUGUCACCCAAGGAAACGUGUUGAUGUUUGUCGAUAUUGUUUGCACCACAGUCUUCGUUGCAGGCAACCCGGAACCCGAUUCUUCUAGAUUUUCCGUUAGAGUGUGGAAGCUGGGGGCAGAUUAUAUGAUAUGGGAAAAGAUGUUUGAGUUGCAAGAUUAUGAGCUCUGGUCUCUUCAUGGAUAUGCGAUCUUCCACAUGUCGUGCCAGAAUUCCCUCUCGUGA
rnacentral:rRNA from 1 species